AAUAAUACAUGUACAGGCGGAGUUUCAGCAUUCCGAUGAGGAAAUGUCGGACCGAACGACAAAGCUGUGAGACACGAGGUCAUACAGACUUUCCAGCAGCGUGGCCUUGUUCCUGUCUCUGUGGGUGAGAAGAGGCAGGGUGGCCUCUCCUCUGGUUGUUGAAGAGCUUUCUGUGGUCUCCACCGAGGCUCGACCUUCACAGAGAGUCUUUCUGAAGCUCUGCAGCAGUUUGGCGUCUCUGCUGAGGUUCUGGACCGUCAGACGGUUGGACCUGACUGAGUCCUGCCUCCCUGCUCAGAGUCUCUUCAGUCUGCUGCUUCAUGAUGCUCCUCUCACAGUCAGACUGGGUGAGGAGAGUCUCCAGCAGCUUGUGGUCCUCCUCCAUGAGGUCCAGGAGCAGGAGUUGAUGUUGUCCUCCCUGAAUAAGCUUGGUGGAGACCUGAGCUCCUGCAGGCUGAGCUGGGAGGUCCUUCACUAUCUGCUGCAGCAGCCGUCAGCUCAGACCAUCACCGUGAAUCUGAAGAAG